CAGGUGAUUAGUGACCGUUCACAUCUCAAAGGUGGAGGCCCCCAACUUCUACUCCUACUCCCAGACCUCUGGCCACCUCUGAACUUCUCAUGAAAGUUCCCUUUCCCCAGGAAAAAGGAAAAGUAUCUUCUAGUCACAUUCUUGGGCUGACCAUUCUGCAAAUGGAACUGUUCUCAGAUGUGAGAAGAAUUUGGCAAUCAUUAGAAUCAUAUCGAGGGAGUCUGGAGGUGAACUGUUUGAUGGCUCAUUUGCAUAGCACUAAAAUUCCUGAAGCCAGAGUUGAGGGGCUACUGUUCUCCCCUACUUCCCCAGGAUCAUGGUCAUCGUCAAUGUUCCAGGCAAAUCACUACCAAUCCAUCACUUCGUACUAACAAAGGAAGCUCCCUUCCCAUUCUUGUGGAGCCUAGGAAGGCUGAAGCCAGAGACUUAUUUUUCUUCCCAGGCCAUGAGGGUUAAUUCCUCCUUUUUACAGUUCUGAGAAAUCAAAGAAAUCAAAGCUUGGCCUCAUUCUCACCAAAAGAAAAGAACCCUUGCUAGGUUUUGACAAAAAGGAGACUAUUACAACAGGAAUGGAAUAAGUACUAUAAUCAAGAAACUCUCCAUAGGCUUCCCUGGCAUGCACAGGAAUAUGGAGUUCAGAUACAAAGUCUUUGCUGGAGAUACAAUAUCAGGAGUAUAUCCUAUAUAAUGACUCCCUCACCCAUGGGUUGAAAUAAUUUGUUCCUUAAAAACAUUCUGAUAGGGAUGCCUGGGUGGCUCAGCACUUGAGCAUCUGCCUUUGCCUCUGGAG